GGAAGUAAAGUCGUAACAAGGUUUCCGUAGGUGAACCUGCGGAAGGAUCAUUAUCGUACAAAAUGUGAGGGGCAUGCGAGGGCUGUCGCUGACCCAAAAGUCGUGCACGCCCGAGUGCCCUCACACACAUCCAUCUCACCCCUAUGUGCACCACCGCGUGGGUCCCCCUUUGGCUUGUUCGGAGGGGGGCUUACGUUUUCACACAAACUUUGUAUGCAGUGUAGAAUGUAUUUUUUGUUUUUGCGAUCACGCAAUCAAUACAACUUUCAACAACGGAUCUCUUGGCUCUC
rnacentral:misc_RNA from 1 species